UCCCUUCGUGACCUCCCUCCUUAUUUUGUUUCGUUUGAUGAAUCGUUGCAUCUUUCCUGGAUGCGUUUCUUGAUCGGACUUUUUUUUUUUGUCAUGGAUGGUCGGUGGCGAUGGGAGAAUGUUGAGAAACAGGGUAGGAGAAAGGAUGAGUUCUGAAGAAGUUGAGGAGGGAGUGAUUGGAAUGAGUUCUUUGAUGCUCUGAUCUUCAUCACGGUGGAUUUAGAUUUCUUUGUUUCUUUAUUUUUUAAUAAAGACAAACGAGUAGUAGAUGAAAUCAGCGAUAAGUUUAGAAAAAGACAUGACGAGGAUAGGCGUCUGUUUUGAUAGUUGAAAUGAAUACAAUAAUUUGGAACGCGUUUGCUGGGAAAUUCAAGGAACAUAAAAUAGUUUCAGAUAAUUACAAGAUGAAAGAAGGUGUUUCAUUUUGGAUCUCAUAAUGAUCUAAUGACAAGAAAAAUGAAGCAAAAGAGAAAAUUAAUAAUGACAAGAUCAUUUAUACAAUUACAAAAGGAAUGAAAACAUAAGAAUAAUCAAAGGAAUGAUAAACCUAUCCCAUCGUGACCUGCCUCCUUAGUUUACUUGGAUGAUUUCUGAAGAAAUUGAGGGAAUGAUUUCAAUCAGUUCUUUGAUGCCUAUAACUUGGAUGAUUUCAAUCAGUUCCUUAGAUUUCUUUCUUUCUUCGUUUGUUUUUCUUUUCAACAAACAAAAAGUAGAUGAAAUCAGCAAUAAGUUUAGAAAAAAGAAAUGACAAGGAUAGGCAUCUGUCUUGAUAGUUGAAAUGAGUAAAAUAAUUUGGAAUGCAUUGUGGGAAAUACAAGGAACAUAAAUUAGUUUAAGAUAAUUAAAAGGUGUAAGAAGGAAUUGUUCAUUUUGGAUCUCAUGCACAGUAACCGGAACAGCAACUGGUCUUUUGUCACUCUCCCUGUAGUCAAGACGUAGGGAGUAUUAUGACCAGCUUCACUGACGUCUGCUUUCGUCUCUCGUCCUUCGCCCGCUAUGCUUCCUAGUAGGUAUGAUGCCCAGCAACAGGCGCACAAGCAGGACUAGCUUAUUGGUCCACUGGUUGUAGCAACAGGAGCUGGAGCAGGUCUUGAAGAGCCUACUACUCGCUCUCGUAUGUAUAUAGCUAUCGUCAUAGGCGUAUAUUUGCUGUAACUCCCCUCUGGUUAGCAAGCAACCGUAACCUUACCUUCGAAAGGGGUCAACGGGCUCCUACUCUUCCUAACUUGACCUUCUCGAGCUGCCUGGCACAAGAGCAAGCGCUGUACUCUAUCUGCACCCGUCCCUGCACUCGCCACAGAAAGAGCUACACAAGCAAAUAACGACAAGAUCUUGUUAGUAAUUACAAAAAGGAAGAAAACAUAGGAAUAUAAUCAUUAAUCUGUGAUUAGAUAUUAGUAAACAUGUUGGGAAGUAUUUCUAUUAAGAAUUGCUUCAGUCUAUUACUCAAGUCAAUUAUAUUCUCUUACAGAUGCCUGAUGAUGGAGUUUUAUCUUGAUGUGCCCCAGCUUAAUACUAUUUGAUUAAUUAAUUUCAACCAUCUUAGGUGAAUUUUUGUAUGAAUAACUUUGUAAGUUGAAAUGGCAUAAGGGUUUGAGAUUUCUAAAUAGUUCGCUAAUUUAAUUAUGACAUGUACCAAUGCACAAACAAUUACAUAGUUUUUUAUAAUACAGUAGUUUGCCUUGUUGGAGUCCCAUAUUGUUGUCACUUGUCACUGUAGACAACUUUGAUAUUGCCAACCAUAUCACAGGUGUUGAGUAGUAGUUUUUCUGUAUUUUUUAUAUACUAAAGGAGGUAGAAGCAUUAAACUCCAGUGGUUCCUUUACUGUGAAACUCCUUUGGUGCAUAUUGUAAGUCAUGCAAUAUUCUCUAUAACAUGGGAUUUAUCUCCUCUGGUGCAUACUGCACAGUGAUGUCAUGCAUGAUAUCUAAAACCAGUUCAGGAGUUCAGUACUUGCAUUAGUACCCAAACAGCUCCGACUGUGCUUUGUAUGCUCUUGCAUGCAUGUAUAAAUGUUGUGUUCAUGAUCAAUAUGAUAUGUUAUUGUUAGAAAAAUACACGCAGAUAAGAUUGUUAUAUAUCCUAUCCAACCAGUAUUUGAAGAGUUUGCACGUCCUUCAAUACCCCCCAUGUGUUUCAUCUUGAUUACGUAAGCACAAAUGCAGCUCACCUCUGGGCAGCUUAGCAUGAUUCAAGCUUUCCUUUUAUGCAUUGUCCAUCAGACUCUGUUGUAUGCUAUUGCUUCACCCAUAUCAUGUCUCCUCUUGGCUGAGAAAAUUUCGCCCUGUCAAGCUAAUAUGUUUAUAAAAAUAGUGCCAGCAAGGCUGUGAACAUGGUCAUGAGCUCCAAUGUCACUUGAGGCUCCUUAUGUAUAAAAUAUAAUUUCCUUUUUGGCAUUAUUCUUUCUCGUAAAUCCAUAAUCAGUUAUCUAAUCAUUAAAACAAUAUUAUGAAAUAAACCAAACUUGUUGCCUGAUGGUAUGCUUUAGUUUCUUAAUUUGCUUACAGCCCCAUCCUGUAGAGUAGCUAGUGUCCAAAACAUCUUGAGAGCAUAUCCUCUAUCUAUGUCAAUAUAGUGUGAUCCUCCACUGCACAUGGCCCUGGUGUUAGACUUCCUUGUACUACACAUCUUCAUUAAAUAUUUGCAGUGAUAGCUCAUUAAGUGAAGUUGAACUAGUUCUUUUAUAUUGCCACCUUCUGCAUGCACUGCCUCUGUUUAAGGUUUCAACUAUUCUACAUUACUUUCGUGUCACACUGGUUGAUGUUUCUUUCCCCAAUACAUGCCUUGGAUACAUGUGUGCUCUUUCCAUGCUUGAAGAAACUGUGAAGAUAGUGUUGUUUUCUUCUCAUGAGGAGCAUAUGAAGCAACAAUAUGCUUAGAAACUACCAUAACUAGCUAUAUAUGUCAGUAGUGCUGUCCAACUACUUCAUUUUGCAUAACCUGUUGGAGCCUGUGCAAUACCAAUUUGUGAUACAUUUUCUAUUAUGUUAUCACUUGUGUAUCCAAAUUGAAGAACUCUUAAUGAAUUCUGUUCUGAGUCAUCUGUAUACCAGUGUCUGCUAAAUCAGAGGCAGAACUAUCUAGAGUAGUCUAUUUUGCAGGAAGCAAUUCACUAACAUCCUACAUCCUAGUCCAUUUAUACCUAAACUAUCAGCCAUGAUGCACCAUAUAUGUGUAGCUUAUUUGAAAUUUGCUGACUAUAAACUGGACUUUCUCUUGCCUAAUGAGAGACUGUCUUAAGAAAAAUGUUGGUUAUCAUUGUGAUAUGUGUGGACUAUCUAAUUUCAUCAAGCUUUGGCUUGAAAUUUAGGAUAGUUAAUUUAGUUAAGUCCGACAUGCUUUCUGCAUCAUAGAAGCCUGAUCUAGUGUCUCUAACAUUAAGAUGGUGAACCAUGCGGUAUUGGCUAGAAGCAACAGCUUACUAUGCAAGAAUUUUAGAUUCAUUGUCUUGUUCUGUUUUGCUGCUAGUGCAAGACUUGUUUCUUUCUGUUCUCAUCUUGUAGGGUGCUGGAUUUUUCUAUUUGCUACACCUAUUAGUUGCGUAGGUUGACUGAUAAUGAUGAGCCAUCCAUGACCCUUAUGUUUGAAAUUUCCUGUGGUUACAAGGUUGCCUGAGAUUUUUCUCUGGGCAUCAGUUUAUCUUCUCCCCAUCACAGUUGCCCCCAAAUGAUUAUGCUGGCAGAUCCUCAUGGUAAUUUCCCCUGCCAUCAAGCUGAUUGAUUCUGUAAUUUUCUUUUUCAUCAUCUUCUGCGUUGCUCUAAUUUGCAAUUCAUAAUGUAAUAUACCCUCCAAUUCAUGGGGAAGGAGAGAUAGAGGCCAAUAUUUGUUGGAUGGUUAAUGAUGCUUUUUUAUUCUAAUCCAACCAUAAAUUAUGGUUAGAUAACUUGGGAGAAGGAAUUACUAUUUUGUCAAGGGAGUGCUUUGCUGUCAUUUGUUGGAUACAACACUGAAUCCUUUUUCUCCAUUGUAUAGCAUUGUAUUAGUUCCCACUGCAGCACAGGAAGACCAGUCUGUGGAAGCAUCAAAAAACCAACAACAAUCAGUCAGUGCCCCGGGGCCCGAGAGAUAUGGAGGAGGUCACCAGUCCCACUACCCGAUUCGGUGGAACACCGGCCUGUUUGAGGGGAGGAGGUCGUCUCCAAGGAUGGUGGUGGAUAGAGCGACGCUAUAUGCGGGGAAGGUCACCGCGGCUGCCACUGUGAUUUCUUCUGGAAUGGCCAGGGACACAUGGGGUACUUUUUACGCUGUCAGCGCUCCGGUUUGCCCUUGUUUCUUGGGUACUUUCACCUCUUGGUCAUCUUAAAGUAAACUUCGACGGUAGUAGGUUAGUAGAUGGUGUGACUGGAGGCAUUGGAUUUGUGAUUAGGGACCAUCUUGGUAGGCUGAUAGCGGCGGGAGGGCGGCGCACGCCAGGUCUUACGGUAAUCGGGGUAGAGCUGCGGGCAGCCUGGGAAGGUAUAUCCUAUGCGAGGCGGGUAUUUGGUGCUGAGCGGGUGUACCUUGAGGGAACUCAUCUAUGGUGAUUAAUUGGAUCCGUGGAGCGAAUAGAUAUGGUGAUGGUCAUCUCCUUAUCCGAAAGACUCGCAGGCUAGCUCAGAUGAUGGGCGUUUUUCAGGUAGCACAUGUGUUCAGGGAGGCAAACAGGGCAGCAGAUUGGGUCGCCUCCUUUGUCGCCCGACACUCCGGAGAUUUUCUUUGGAUGUUCGCAUCGGACGUUCCUCUUCCUUUGUAUUCCUUACUUUCUCGUGAUCUGGCAGGGUGUACUUAUGUCCGAGUUUUAUAAAAUGAGUAGCCGUUUUCACCCAAAAAAAAAAAAAACAA